AGUUUGAUCAUGGCUCAGAUUGAACGCUGGCGGGAUGCUUUACAUGCAAGUCGAACGGCAGCACGGACUUCGGUCUGGUGGCGAGUGGCGAACGGGUGAUAAUGCAUCGAACGUGCCUAGUAGCGGGGGAUAACUACGCGAAAGCGUAGCUAAUAAUGCACACACCUGGGGAAAGCGGGGGACCUUCGGGCCUCGCACUAUUAGAGCGCCGAUAUCGGAUUAGCUAGUUGGUGGGGUAACGGCUCACCAAGGCGACGAUCCGUAGCUGGUUUGAGAGGACGACCAGCCACACUGGGACUGGCAUAAGCGCCCGACUCCUACGGGAGGCAGUGGGGAAUUUUGGACAAUGGGGGAAACCCCGGAUCUGAGCUAAUCCCGGCAGUGGUGCGAUGAAUGCUUUCGGGUUGUAAAGCACUUUUGGCAGGAAGAAACGGCACGUGGAUACACCCGCGCAACUGACGGCACGGUAAGAAUAACACCGGCUAACUACGCGCCAGCAGCCGCGGUAAUACGUAGGGUGCAAGCGUUAAUCGGAAUUACUGGGCGUAAAGCGUGCGCAGGCGGUUCGGAAAGAAAGAUGUGAAAUCCCAGAGCUUAACUUUGGAACUGCAUUUUUAACUACCGAGCUAGAGUGUGUCAGAGGGAGGUGGAAUUCGCGUGUAGCAGUGAAAUGCGUAGAUAUGCGGAGGAACACCGAUGGCGAAGGCAGCCUCCUGGGAUAACACUGACGCUCAUGCACGAAAGCGUGGGGAGCAAACAGGAUUAGAUACCCUGGUAGUCCACGCCCUAAACGAUGUCAACUAGCUGUUGGGGCCUUCGCCUUGGUAGCGAGCUAACGCGUGAAGUUGACCGCCUGGAGUACGGUCGCAAGAUUAAAACUCAAAGGAAUUGACGGGGCCCGCACAAGCGGUGGAUGAUGUGGAUUAAUUCGAUGCAACGCGAAAAACCUGUUAUCAUCUUUGAUAUGUCUGGAAUCCCGAAGAGAUUUGGGAGUGCUCGCAAGAGAACCGGAACACAGGUGCUGCAUGGCUGUCGUCAGCUCGUGUCGUGAGAUGUUGCUAAGUCCUGCAACGAGCGCAACCCUUGUCAUUAGUUGCUACGAAAGGGCACUCUAAUGAGACUGCCGGUGACAAACCGGAGGAAGGUGGGGAUGACGUCAAGUCCGCGGCCCUUAUGGGUAGGGCUUCACACGUCAUACAAUGGUCGGGACAGAGGGUCGCCAACCCGCGAGGGGGAGCCAAUCCCAGAAACCCGAUCAAGUCCGGAUCGUGGUCUGCAACCUCGACUGCGUGAAGUCGGAAUCGCUAGUAAUCGCGGAUCAGCAUGUCGCGGGGUGAAUACGUUCCCGGGUCUUGUACACACCGCCCGUCACACCAUGGAGUGGGUUUACCAGAAGUAGUUAGCCUAACCGUAAGGAGGGCGAUUACCACGGUAGGAUCUAUGACUGGGGUGAAGUCGUAACAAGGUAA
rnacentral:rRNA from 1 species